rfam:Schistosoma mansoni, Puerto Rico, WGS project CABG01000000 data, contig: 0242
GCACUGCUGAGGGGUCCCAUAAUAGGACGAAACGGCCGUCCAGUGU